AACGAACGCUGGCGGCAGGCCUAACACAUGCAAGUCGAACGCUGUAGCAAUACAGAGUGGCAGACGGGUGAGUAACGCGUGGGAACGUGCCCUUUGGUUCGGAAUAACCCAGGGAAACUUGGGCUAAUACCGGAUACGUCCGUGAGGAGAAAGAUUUAUCGCCAAAGGAUCGGCCCGCGUCGGAUUAGCUAGUUGGUGAGGUAAAGGCUCACCAAGGCGACGAUCCGUAGCUGGUCGAGAGGAUGACCAGCCACACUGGGACUGAGACACGGCCCAGACUCCUACGGGAGGCAGCAGUGAGGAAUAUUGGACAAUGGGCGCAAGCCUGAUCCAGCCAUGCCGCGUGAGUGAAGAAGGCCUUAGGGUUGUAAAGCUCUUUCAGCGGGGAAGAUAAUGACGGUACCUGCAGAAGAAGCCCCGGCUAACUCCGUGCCAGCAGCCGCCGUAAG
rnacentral:rRNA from 1 species